GAUGAACGCUGGCGGCGUGCUUAACACAUGCAAGUCGAACGGAAAGGCCCAAUUUUCCUUGUGUACUCGAGUGGCUAACGUGUGAGUAACACGUGGGUGAUCUGCCCUGUACUUCGGGAUAUUCCUUGUAAACUGGGUCUACUACUUGUUAUUACCACUUCUUCGAUGGUGUGGUGGCUAGUUUUUUCGGUGUGGGAUGAGCUCGCGGCCUAUCAGCUUCUUGGUGGGGUAUUGUCCUACCAAGGCGUCGACGGGGAGCCGGCCUGAGAGGGUGUACGUCCACAUUGGGACUGAGAUACGGCGCAGAGUCGUACGGGAGGAAGCAGUGGAGAAUAUGGAACAAUGAGGGAAAGACUGAUGCAGCGACGCCGCGUGGGGGAUGACGGCAUUCGGGUUGUAAACUCCGUUAGCUAGGGACGAAGAGGGUUUGUGACGGUACCUGGAGAAGAAGCACCGGCUAACUACGUG
rnacentral:rRNA from 1 species